rnacentral:lncRNA from 1 species
UGAGGGAAGCCACUAAAUUGAGGGCUUCGCUCGCUCGCUCUAACGCUCGUUUAGUAGACAGCGAGUGGAGUGCAUAAGCCCCUUUAGAGAUAGGGGUGAGUACUACACGAGCUCGUAAGUAAAGUACGGAACGAGCCUUGUCUACGAAGCAGAGCGACCUCAUCUUGCUUGCUUCUGGCGAAGCUUCUAGCUCUAAAUAAUUGGAAUUCUGGUAUGGCAGGAAUACUGUCGACCAUUACGAGCGAUGGAGUACAUAAGCCCCUUUAGAGAUAGGGGUGAGUACUACACGAGCUUGUAAGUAAAGUACGGAACGAGCCUUGUCUACGAAGCAGAGCGACCUCAUCUUGCUUGCUUCUGGCGAAGCUUCUAGCUCUAAAUAAUUGGAAUUCUGGUAUGGCAGGAAUACUGUCGACCAUUACGAGCGAUAGCGAAGCCAAGCCGUAUAAAGGCGAGCAGCCCUU